UUUAUUUUAUUAGCUCCGAUGCUUCACUCUUAAAAAACAAGUCUCCUUCCUCUUCCUCCUCUCUCUCUCUCUCUCUCUCUCUCUUCCUACGUCGUCGUCGUCGUUGUCUUCUUCUUCUCCUUCUUCUCCCUCUCUCAGCGCCUCCUAUGGCGUCCGCUGGUAAGAACAACAGCAUCAACGCCAAGCUCGUGCUCCUCGGCGACAUGGGCGCGGGCAAAUCCAGCCUCGUCCUCCGCUUCGUCAAGGGCCAGUUCCUCGAAUUUCAGGAGUCGACGAUCGGGGCGGCGUUCUUCUCCCAAACCCUAGCUCUGAGCGAUGCCACGGUGAAGUUCGAGAUCUGGGACACGGCGGGGCAGGAGAGGUACCAUAGCCUGGCGCCGAUGUACUAUCGGGGAGCCGCUGCGGCGAUUAUCGUGUACGAUAUCACUAGCACGGAGUCGUUUGAGCGAGCUAAGAAAUGGGUGCAAGAACUACAAAAACAAGGUAAUCCAAACAUGGUGAUGGCUCUAGCCGGUAAUAAAGCUGAUUUGGAAGAGAAAAGGAAGGUUGCUACUGAGGAAGCUUGCACCUAUGCUGAGGAAAAUGGCCUUUUCUUUAUUGAAACCUCUGCAAAAACUGCUAUUAAUGUGAACGACAUAUUUUAUGAGAUAGACUAGAGGUGGUUACUUUGGCAACCAUAUCAUAAUUGGUGGCUCGUUUUAUUGUACUGGUUUGCAUGAUUAACGGCCUUGUGGCGAGGUUGGAGCUUCUGCAGAAUGCUCUUUGAGUUGAGCUGCUUGAAAAGCACCAGCAGUCCAACAGUUUCUCUUUUCUGAAUCAUCCUAACAGCUCCUUCGGCAGUGGAGCGAGACGGUUACCCCGUGCUCAGCCAGCUCAGAAUCCUGCAGGCAUGGUUCUCUCAGACAGACCUGCUGAGCGGCUGCAAACUUCGUCAUGCUGUUCUUAGUGCAUCAAAAGUCAUGGCAAAGGCGGGGGACGGUAGAAAUUUCUGCAGGAUUCUUCUUCGGCGUUUCUAUCUUGAUGCUGUAAAUGGGCAAUAGAGUAUGCCAUCUAUGCGCAUGUUCAGUACAUUCCGAAUACAUUUACUCAGUGAUAAUUCCAUAAGUUCUUAAUCUUUGUUUGUAUUUAAUGUCAGAUCCUUACUCCAUUUCCGGACAAUUAUCGAAAGUUCCUGUACAUUUAUCAAAAUAUGAGACCUCAUCCCAUCAGUGAUUGAGUGCAAUUGUAAAUGCACUUUUCGAAACUCUUGGGCCAUAAAAUUAUUCUAUUGAUGGUUUUGCAAUUUUACAAA